AACGAACGCUGGCGGCAGGCCUAACACAUGCAAGUCGAACGCUCUAGCAAUAGAGAGUGGCAGACGGGUGAGUAACGCGUGGGAACCUUCCCUGUGGUGCGGAAUAACUCGCCGAAAGGCGUGCUAAUACCGCAUAAGCCCGCAAGGGGAAAGAUUUAUCGCCAUAGGAUGGGCCCGCGUAGGAUUAGCUAGUUGGUGAGGUAAUGGCUCACCAAGGCGACGANCCUUAGCUGGUUUGAGAGAAUGACCAGCCACACUGGGACUGAGACACGGCCCAGACUCCUACGGGAGGCAGCAGUGGGGAAUCUUGGACAAUGGGCGCAAGCCUGAUCCAGCCAUGCCGCGUGAGUGAA
rnacentral:rRNA from 1 species